AUGACUCCUAGCCCCCGUCUCCCCGGGUCCCCAGCGGUCCGACAGAUCUUGGCUGCGGGAGGGAGAAAGAGAGACCAGGCGACUGGGCGGGCGCGGAGCGGCCGGAGCGCGAUGUCGACGGUGACGGCGGUGGUGGCGGUGGGGAGCUGGGGUCACCUUGUGAUGCGAGCGCUCCUCUGUGCCGUACCGCCUCUGGGAGGAAGCCCCAUUGCCCUCUUCUUUCUAAGCUGUCAUCCUCCUGCUGCAAUCGUCAUUACAGUACCGCUGGUGACGCCACUCGGCGAGCGCAAGUGGAUAAAUAGAAACGUCUGCCACAGCGAAGAUGAAAGGAGACCCGCAGCUAAUGGCUCGGCAGUGAUGCGCCAGAUGGCCUUAAGCUCUCCACAGCUCGGCUUGACCUCCAGGUGGCUAUUCGUAGAAGAAAUCGUUUUCCCAUUUGCCUGGGCCUCGCCUGCACUUCAGGUAUGUAGGGUGGGGAGAGGUUCUAAGAGUGGCCUUUUUUUUUUUUCUUUUUCUUGCCCCUAUUUUAAGGUAUUCGUUCAGAGGCAACGAAUUCCUCUGGAAACAGGUUUUGCGAGUGAAGAGAGACUGAGAACUGCAGUCCCUACGAGGCAGGACCAGAGGCUCCUAGCUGGGAAAAGGUGCUGUUCCCACCCAGAGACUGGGCACAGCAGUUGAGAGUGCUCCAGCACAGGGCACUGGGGCUCGCAGAGCUUUGGCUCACAUGGCUCUCCCCCAGAUCCUGCCCACAUGCUUUUGGGGUCCUGGCAGUGAAGAGAGAGAAGUCAGC
rnacentral:lncRNA from 1 species